UACGGAAGGCAGCAGUGGGGAAUAUUGCACAAUGGGCGAAAGCCUGAUGCAGCUAUGCCGCGUGUAUGAAGAAGGCCUUAGGGUUGUAAAGUACUUUCAUCGGGGAGGAAAAAACAAAACUAAUAAUUUUAUUUCUUGACGUUACCCGAAAAAGAAGCACCGGCUAACUCCGUGCCAGCAGCCGCGGUAAUACGGAGGGUGCGAGCGUUAAUCGGAAUUACUGGGCGUAAAGGGCACGCAGGCGGUUAAUUAAGUUGGAUGUGAAAUCCCCCGGGCUUAACCUGGGAAUGGCAUUCAAAGACUGGUUUAGCUAGAGUCUUGUAGAGGGGGGUAGAAUUCCAUGUGUAGCGGUGAAAUGCGUAGAGAUGUGGAGGAAUACCGGUGGCGAAGGCGGCCCCUGGACAAAGACUGACGCUCAUGUGCGAAAAGCGUGGGGAGCAAACAGGGAUUAGAUACC
rnacentral:rRNA from 1 species